UUAGAUACCCUAUUAUUUUAAAUGUAAAAUUUAAAAACUAAGUGAUUAAUAGUUAAGUUCUUUAAAGCUAAAUAAUUUGGCGGUAUUUUAAACUUUUCAGAGGAACCUGUUCUAUAAUCGAUAAUCCACGAUAGAAUUAACUUUAAUUAGAAAUUUUUAUAUCGUCGUUGUUAAAUAUUUUAAAAGAAUUUAAUAUUUAGAAUUUUUAUUAAAAAAUAAAUCAGAUCAAGGUGAAGUUUAUAUUAGAGAAGAAAUGGGUUACAAUAAAUUUUAUUUAUGGAUUUAAAAUUGAAAAAUUUUUUUAAAAUUGGAUUUGAAAGUAAUUAAAUA
rnacentral:rRNA from 1 species